rnacentral:rRNA from 1 species
CCUACGGGGGGCUGCAGUAGGGAAUAUUGCGCAAUGGGCGAAAGCCUGACGCAGCAACACCGCGUGAAGGAUGAAGCUUUUCGGAGUGUAAACUUCUGUCGGCAGGGAAGAAUUUUGACGGUACCUGCAAAGGAAGCAUCGGCUAACUACGUGCCAGCAGCCGCGGUAAGACGUAGGAUGCAAGCGUUGUCCGGAAUUAUUGGGCGUAAAGAGUUCGUAGGUGGUCUAUUAAGUCUGGUGUUAAAUCCCGGGGCUCAACCCCGAUCCAGCAUUGG